ACGAACCGAGCGAACGUUGUUCGGAAUCACUGGGCUUAAAGGGCGCGUAGGCGGAUACUCAAGUCUGUGGUGAAAUCCUCCGGCUCAACCGGAGAACUGCCAUGGAUACUGGGUGUCUCGAGGGUGGUAGGGGUAUGCGGAACUAUCGGUGGAGCGGUGAAAUGCGUUGAUAUCGAUAGGAACUCCGGUGGCGAAGGCGGCAUACUGGACCACAUCUGACGCUGAGGCGCGAAAGCCAGGGGAGCGAACGGGAUUAGAUACCCCGGUAGUCCUGGCCCUAAACGAUGGGUACUAGCUAGUAGGGUUCACAUGACUUUACUGGCGAAGCAAAAGUGAUAAGUACCCCGCCUGGGGAGUAUGGUCGCAAGGCUG
rnacentral:rRNA from 1 species